GCUUAAGUAAUUUAAUUAAAAUUUUGAUUUGUGGUAUCAAAUAUGUAUUUGUAUGCCUUAGGUU
rnacentral:tRNA from 1 species